UGGGGAAUAUUGCACAAUGGGGGAAACCCUGAUGCAGCGACGCCGCGUGAGCGAAGAAGGUUUUCGAAUCGUAAAGCUCUGUCCUAUGAGAAGAUAAUGACGGUAUCAUAGGAGGAAGCCCCGGCUAAAUACGUGCCAGCAGCCGCGGUAAUACGUAUGGGGCGAGCGUUGUCCGGAAUUAUUGGGCGUAAAGGGUACGUAGGCGGUCUAUUAAGUCAGGUGUGAAAGCGUGAGGCUUAACCUCAUUAAGCACUUGAAACUGAUAGACUUGAGUGAAGGAGAGGAAAGUGGAAUUCCUAGUGUAGCGGUGAAAUGCUUAGAUAUCAUGAAGAACUCCGAUUGCGAAGGCAGCUUACGGGAGCGAAACUGACGCUGAAGCUCGAAGGUGCGGGUAUCGAACAGG
rnacentral:rRNA from 1 species